rnacentral:rRNA from 1 species
CGCGGUGCAUUAGCUAGUUGGUAAGGUAAAGGCUUACCAAGGCGAUGAUGCAUAGCCGAGUUGAGAGACUGAUCGGCCACAUUGGGACUGAGACACGGCCCAAACUCCUACGGGAGGCAGCAGUAGGGAAUCUUCCACAAUGGACGCAAGUCUGAUGGAGCAACGCCGCGUGAGUGAAGAAGGUUUUCGGAUCGUAAAGCUCUGUUGUUGGUGAAGAAGGAUAGAGGUAGUAACUGGCCUUUAUUUGACGGUAAUCAACCAGAAAGUCACGGCUAACUACGUGCCAGCAGCCGCGGUAAUACGUAGGUGGCAAGCGUUGUCCGGAUUUAUUGGGCGUAAAGCGAGCGCAGGCGGAAGAAUAAGUCUGAUGUGAAAGCCCUCGGCUUAACCGAGGAACUGCAUCGGAAACUGUUUUUCUUGAGUGCAGAAGAGGAGAGUGGAACUCCAUGUGUAGCGGUGGAAUGCGUAGAUAUAUGGAAGAACACCAGUGGCGAAGGCGGCUCUCUGGUCUGCAACUGACGCUGAGGCUCGAAAGCAUGGGUAGCGAACAGGAUUAGAUACCCUGGUAGUCCAUGCCGUAAACGAUGAGUGCUAAGUGUUGGGAGGUUUCCGCCUCUCAGUGCUGCAGCUAACGCA